rnacentral:rRNA from 1 species
GAUGAACGCUGGCGGCGUGCCUAAUACAUGCAAGUCGAGCGAACGGACGAGAAGCUUGCUUCUCUGAUGUUAGCGGCGGACGGGUGAGUAACACGUGGAUAACCUACCUAUAAGACUGGGAUAACUUCGGGAAACCGGAGCUAAUACCGGAUAAUAUUUUGAACCGCAUGGUUCAAAAGUGAAAGACGGUCUUGCUGUCACUUAUAGAUGGAUCCGCGCUGCAUUAUCUAGUUGGUAAGGUAACGGCUUACCAAGGCAACGAUGCAUAGCCGACCUGAGAGGGUGAUCGGCCACACUGGAACUGAGACACGGUCCAGACUCCUACGGGAGGCAGCAGUAGGGAAUCUUCCGCAAUGGGCGAAAGCCUGACGGAGCAACGCCGCGUGAGUGAUGAAGGUCUUCGGAUCGUAAAACUCCGUUAUUAGGGAAGAACAUAUGUGUAAGUAACUGUGCACAUCUUGACGGUACCUAAUCAGAAAGCCACGGCUAACUACGUG